GACGAACGCUGGCGGCAUGCCUAAUACAUGCAAGUCGAGCGAACAGAUGAAGUGCUUGCACUUCUGACGUUAGCGGCGAACGGGUGAGUAACACGUAAGGAAUCUACCUAUAAGCGGGGGAUAACAUUCGGAAACGGGUGCUAAUACCGCAUAAUAUCUUCUUCCGCAUGGAAGAAGAUUGAAAGACGGCUCUGCUGUCACUUAUAGAUGACCUUGCGGUGCAUUAGUUAGUUGGUGGGGUAACGGCCUACCAAGACGAUGAUGCAUAGCCGACCUGAGAGGGUGAUCGGCCACAUUGGGACUGAGACACGGCCCAAACUCCUACGGGAGGCAGCAGUAGGGAAUCUUCCGCAAUGGGCGAAAGCCUGACGGAGCAAUGCCGCGUGAGUGAAGAAGGCCUUCGGGUCGUAAAACUCUGUUAUAAGAGAAGAACAAAUUGUAGAGUAACUGCUACAGUCUUGACGGUAUCUUACCAGAAAGCCACGGCUAACUACGUGCCAGCAGCCGCGGUAA
rnacentral:rRNA from 1 species